ensembl:snRNA
GUGUUGUAUGAAAGGAGAGAAGGUUAGCACUCCACAUGACAAGGAUGGGAGAGGCCCGUGGGACUGACAACAUGCAUAUGGUUAAGGCAUUACCAACUACUUCAUGGCAUUUAAUCACUGUUUUUC